rnacentral:snRNA from 1 species
UCACAUUUAUAGGUAAGAACUAU